UGCAAGUCGAGCGGACAGAUGGGAGCUUGCUCCCUGAUGUUAGCGGCGGACGGGUGAGUAACACGUGGGUAACCUGCCUGUAAGACUGGGAUAACUCCGGGAAACCGGGGCUAAUACCGGAUGCUUGAUUGAACCGCAUGGUUCAAUUAUAAAAGGUGCUUUUACCUACCACUUACAAAUGGACCCCCGGCCCAUUACCUAUUUGGUGAGGUAACGGCUCACCAAGGCAACAAUCCUUACCCAACCUGAAAGGGUGAUCGGCCACACUGGAACUGAAACACGGCCCAAACUCCAACGGAAGGCACCAUUAGGAAACUUCCCCAAGGAACAAAAUUCUAACGAACCACCGCCCCGUGAUUGAUGAAGGUUUUCGAAUCGAAAAACUCUGUUGUUAGGAAAAAACAAUUACCGUUCAAAUAGGGCGGUACCUUGACGGUACCUAACCAAAAAGCCACGGCUAACUACUUGCCACCACCCGCGGUAAUACUUAGGUGGCAAGCGUUGUCCGAAAUUAUUGGGCGUAAAGCGCGCGCAGGCGGUUUCUUAAUUCUAAUGUGAACCCCCCGGCUCACCCGGGAAGGGUCAUUGAAAACUGGGGAACUUAUUGCAAAAAAGGAAAGUGAAAUUCCACUUGUACCGUUGAAAUGCUUAAAGAUGUGAAGAACCACCAUUGCCAAAGGCAACUCUCUGGUCUGUACCUGACCCUAAGG
rnacentral:rRNA from 2 species